AGCAGCAACAGUUACAGAGAUAACCCAUGGGCUCCUGAGAGCAGAGAUUGUGACUUACUCAUCUUUGAUGUAGCCAAGUUCUAACAAACCUAAAUGUGCAGAUUGUACUUACUGGAUUUAUGUAAUUUGUGAUUCACUUGAUUGACUGAAUCUGAUUGCAGGGGAUGACUCAGAUCCACCUUCCCAUCUCCAGGGAAGAUGGUGCUGGGGUCAAAAGAUGCCAAGACCUCUUGGGGGGAUGACCUCCAAGGUUGAAUAAGGGGCAAAGCUUAAUCUGCCCUUUCUCCCUGAUAACCUGCCUGUCAACUCUCAGGGAAUUUGGACUGCCAUUUGUAAGAGAGGAUCAUGGAAUGAAUACGGGCAUUGAGUCAAGCAGUCUGUGUUCCACUGGCGGUGUGACCUGGGGCAGGCCAUUUCACCUCACUGAGCCUUAGUUUCCUCACCUGUAAAAUGUGAAAAAUAUCACCUUCCUUACCAGGCUUUUCUGAGGAUUUAAUGACAUCAUGUUCAGUGCCCAGUAUGGGUGGAUAAUACCCAGGAGUUUCCUCCUCUUCUCCUCCUAAGUUGACUUGAUGCCCCCCGCUGAAGAUCAUGGCUGAACUGGCUCAAUUCGGAUCCAGGACUCCUGGCUUUGUCUCUUCCCUAGUUGCCCACCACACCCAUGGACACCCUUAGGUAGUUUAUCCUUUUGGGACAACUGGAUUUAUUAGAAAAGGGUAUUCUGGGGUGGAAUAAGGCCCUUUUCAGUCCCCAUGGAGCCUUUUUGGAAGAUGAAGUUCUCAAACCCACAAGAGAAUUCAUAAGACGAGCACACCACCCACAGUUAGGUUUCCCUCUCAAGUGCUUUAUCUCCACGUGGGGCAAAUAGCUCUUUGUCUGCAUAUGUUAUUGGAGCUUUUGGAGUCCAGCCUUCAGAAGAGCUCUAAUUUUUGGAUUCAUAUCAGUUUAUUAGAGAAGCCUAGUUCUAAGGAUUAGCAAAUGGGUAGGUGCUCAGCCAGCCCAGAACAAGCAGAGCCAUGACAGAAGUUUCUGGAAUCUCACAGAGUCGGUGUCUUCAUGGACUCAGGGGGCCUAAAUCCAAUAGCCUGGAUUUGUCACUUUCCCUUAUUCCCUUAUCAAACUCUUCCCUUUUGGACAUCAGAGAAGGAAAGUACUUCCUGUAAGGGGGCAAUUUGCAAAGCUUCAUGGAAGUGGCAUUUGAGUGUGGCCUUAAAGGAUGUGUAGGAUUGGGAACCAUAGAUAUUUAGAGGAAGGCAUUCCUGGCAGAAGGAACAGCAGCAAAACACAGAAGUGGAAAUUAGUAGCAGCAUUAAUGGAGAAUAAUUUGGGGAAUAAGAUAUACAAAUGGAAUAAUAAAAAUAGCAUUAAUUAAA
rnacentral:lncRNA from 1 species